UUCAAGCUGUUCACAGAUGGAGUAGGUUUGACAAAUAUGUUUAGAAUUAGGUGAAAGAAAUACAAAGCUAGUGCUUGCACUUGGACUCAGAAAAAUUGAGAAAUGCAAGUGUAUGUUGUAAGCAGUAUUAUAAGGAUUUUCUGAAAAUAAAUUGAAAAGCACUUUCUCUCCUCAUACGUUAUUUAGAAAGGUGAAUGAACAAAACAUGGCUUUCUUAAAUACUUGUCAUGAGUGUGUUUCAGUUACAGAGGAGGAGAGUCAAUACUGCUCGGACACAGCCUGCAAGGAAAAUAUGAACAUUCUGACGGGGUCACUAAGCUGAGUCCACAACAACUUGAACAGUACAUCACCUACUCAG